UACAUUCCAAGGGACCUAAUGUUAAUUUUUCAAAAGGUCUUCACAUCUUUUUUAACCAUGACGGUCAAUUGUGGCUAUUUCUAUUAUUGCUAAAAGAGGAGAAAGUUUGUUUCUUGAUUACAUGCAAGGCUAUUGUUAACAAUAAUAAGCAAGUUGUAUCAUGAAGGUACCAUCCCCCACAAAGUGGAAAGAAUGUACAAGCA
rnacentral:lncRNA from 1 species